rnacentral:rRNA from 1 species
GAUGUUAGCGGCGGACGGGUGAGUAACACGUGGGUAACCUGCCUGUAAGACUGGGAUAACUCCGGGAAACCGGGGCUAAUACCGGAUGGUUGUUUGAACCGCAUGGUUCAGACAUAAAAGGUGGCUUCGGCUACCACUUACAGAUGGACCCGCGGCGCAUUAGCUAGUUGGUGAGGUAACGGCUCACCAAGGCAACGAUGCGUAGCCGACCUGAGAGGGUGAUCGGCCACACUGGGACUGAGACACGGCCCAGACUCCUACGGGAGGCAGCAGUAGGGAAUCUUCCGCAAUGGACGAAAGUCUGACGGAGCAACGCCGCGUGAGUGAUGAAGGUUUUCGGAUCGUAAAGCUCUGUUGUUAGGGAAGAACAAGUGCCGUUCAAAUAGGGCGGCACCUUGACGGUACCUAACCAGAAAGCCACGGCUAACUACGUGCCAGCAGCCGCGGUAAUACGUAGGUGGCAAGCGUUGUCCGGAAUUAUUGGGCGUAAAGGGCUCGCAGGCGGUUUCUUAAGUCUGAUGUGAAAGCCCCCGGCUCAACCGGGGAGGGUCAUUGGAAACUGGGGAACUUGAGUGCAGAAGAGGAGAGUGGAAUUCCACGUGUAGCGGUGAAAUGCGUAGAGAUGUGGAGGAACACCAGUGGCGAAGGCGACUCUCUGGUCUGUAACUGACGCUGAGGAGCGAAAGCGUGGGGAGCGAACAGGAUUAGAUACCCUGGUAGUCCACGCCGUAAACGAUGAGUGCUAAGUGUUAGGGGGUUUCCGCCCCUUAGUGCUGCAGCUAACGCAUUAAGCACUCCGCCUGGGGAGUACGGUCGCAAGACUGAAACUCAAAGGAAUUGACGGGGGCCCGCACAANCGGUGGAGCAUGUGGUUUAAUUCGAAGCAACGCGAANAACCUUACCAGGUCUUGACAUCCUCUGACAAUCCUAGAGAUAGGACGUCCCCUUCGGGGGCAGAGUGACAGGUGGUGCA